AUGGCCCCACUUCCAGGACAAACGAAGAGGAUCCUGGAACCUGAUGAACCUGCCCCUGAUAGAGUCACAAGGCAGAAAGCAAAGAUGGCGGCCGCGACAGAGCAUCAAGAAAGUCUGCUGUGCAUGGACUCGGAGACCUUGGUGCAAAUGGGUGAUGAGUUGCCGCCCAUGGAUAGAGAAACCACUCUCCGCAUGGAUGAAAGUGGCACGGUCUGCCUAGAUGAAGGAGGAACUAUCCACACAGACCUCAGCCCUGUUGCACCUUCUGUUAACAGGAAUGAUGUCAUCAGUGAAGAAGAACAGCAGCUUGUGCUUCAAUUAGCUGCAAUGACUACCAAGACUAGACUUAGAAAGGGCAAAGGGCUAGAGAGAAUCACCAAGUCGCUUGGUAGCAAGGUGCCUAUCCAAGUUGCCGGAGGGAUGAAGCGUCCAGAGAAGCCCCUGCAGGCAGCAAAGCUUGCUUCUGAGUGUGGACUCGUUGCAAGAAGCCAUCUGCCGGUUCUUCCUCACUUCAAGCAAUACAAAAAAAUGCUAGUCUAUUGGAGAACUAAAUUGGGAAAGUUGUUGCAAAUUUAG
rnacentral:rRNA from 1 species